rnacentral:rRNA from 1 species
GAUGAACGCUGGCGGCGUGCCUAAUACAUGCAAGUCGAGCGAACGGACGAGAAGCUUGCUUCUCUGAUGUUAGCGGCGGACGGGUGAGUAACACGUGGAUAACCUACCUAUAAGACUGGGAUAACUUCGGGAAACCGGAGCUAAUACCGGAUAAUAUUUUGAACCGCAUGGUUCAAAAGUGAAAGACGGUCUUGCUGUCACUUAUAGAUGGAUCCGCGCUGCAUUAGCUAGUUGGUAAGGUAACGGCUUACCAAGGCAACGAUGCGUAGCCGACCUGCGAGGGUGAGCGGCCGCACUGGAACGGAGACACGGUCCAGACUCCUACGGGAGGCAGCAGUAGGGAAUCUGCCGCAAUGGGCGAAAGCCUGACGGAGCAACGCCGCGUGAGUGAUGAAGGUCUUCGGAUCGUAAAACUCUGUUAUUAGGGAAGAACAUAUGUGUAAGUAACUGUGCACAUCUUGACGGUACCUAAUCAGAAAGCCACGGCUAACUACGUG